GACGAACGCUGGCGGCGUGCUUAACACAUGCAAGUCGAACGGAAAGGCCCUGCUGUUGUGGUCUGCUCGUGUGGCGAACGAGUGAGUAACUCGUGAGUAACCUGCCCUUGACUUUGGGAUAACUUCAGGAAACUGGGGAUAAUACAGACUAGGAGCGCCUGCUGCAUGGCGGGGGGGGGAAAGUUGCGGCGGUUUGGACAGGAGUACGGGCAUAUCAGCUGGUUGGUGGGGUAGUGGCGUACGAAGGCGUUGAAGGGGAGCCGGCCUGGGAGGGUGACAGGCCCCAGUGGCCUUGGGGAAGGGCCCAGAGGGCUUCUGGCGGCAGCGGUGGGAGAUAGUCCACGAUGGGCGGAAGGCUGAAGCACCAACGUCGCGUUCGGGAGGACGGCCUUCGGGUUGUAAACCGCUUCCGGCUGUGACGAAGAGUGAGUGACGGUAACGGGUAAGGAAGCAACGGCUAACUACGUG
rnacentral:rRNA from 1 species